GAUGAACGCUGGCGGCGUGCCUAAUACAUGCCAGUCGAGCGAACGGACGAGAAGCUUGCUUCCCUGAUGUUAGCGGCGGACGGGUGAGUAACACGUGGAUAACCUACCUAUAAGACUGGGAUAACUUCGGGAAACCGGAGCUAAUACCGGAUGAUAUUUUGAACCGCAUGGUUCAAAAGUGAAAGACGGUCUUGCUGUCACUUAUAGAUGGAUCCGCGCUGCAUUAGCUAGUUGGUAAGGUAACGGCUUACCAAGGCAACGAUGCAUAGCCGACCUGAGAGGGUGAUCGGCCACACUGGAACUGAGACACGGUCCAGACUCCUACGGGAGGCAGCAGUAGGGAAUCUUCCGCAAUGGGCGAAAGCCUGACGGAGCAACGCCGCGUGAGUGAUGAAGGUCUUCGGAUCGUAAAACUCUGUUAUUAGGGAAGAACAUAUGUGUAAGUAACUGUGCACAUCUUGACGGUACCUAAUCAGAAAGCCACGGCUAACUACGCG
rnacentral:rRNA from 1 species